rnacentral:misc_RNA from 1 species
GAUGAAGAACGUAGCGAAAUGCGAUAAGUAAUGUGAAUUGCAGAAUUCAGUGAAUCAUCGAAUCUUUGAACGCACAUUGCGCCCGCUAGUAUUCUGGCGGGCAUGCCUGUCCGAGCGUCAUUUCAACCCUCAAGCCCCCGGGCUUGGUGUUGGGGAUCGGCGAGCCUCCGCGCCCGCCGUCCCCUAAUUCUAGUGGCGGUCUCGCUGUAGCUUCCUCUGCGUAGUAGCACACCUCGCACUGGGAAACAGCGCGGCCACGCCGUUAAACCCCCAACUUCUGAACGUUUGACCUCGGAUCAGGUAGGAAUACCCGCUGAACUUAAGCAUAUCAAUAAGCGGAGGA